rnacentral:rRNA from 1 species
AUGUCUACUAGGGGUUUAGGAUUCUCUGACACUCUUAGUUUCAAUGGCACAAAUUUUGAUGUUUGGGUAAUUCACAUGCUUAAUCUCUUUAGGGUCAUGGACCCAAAUUUAGAGCGAAUUGUAGAUAUGGGUUUUUCUCCUCCAAAGGAUCCCCAAAGAUUAUCUUUAGAGGAUGAGAAAAACUCUUAUCUCAAUGCUCAAGCUUCUAGUGUGCUUUUUGAUGCUUUGAGCAAUGUAGUUAUUUUUCAAGUCAUGCCGUUUCGGGAUGCUCAUGAGUUGUGGACAAAGCUUCAAGAUAAAUAUGGCGUGUCCAAGUUUUGUGGGGAUGAUUGUUCUCCCUCCACCUCGGGCCGUGUUGCUUUCUCAACUUCUUCUACUUCACCUACAUGUGGAUUGCCACAAGGUAAUGAUAUGGUGAGUAGUGGUGUUCAUUGUAAUGAUGAUAGUGUGCUUAUCGUUGAUGAUUCCUCAUCACUAUCUUAUUGCAAUGCUCCAUCUUUGGAUUUCAACACUCCGAGCUCUCUAAAUGUUUCACAUGCUUGUGUUGAUAGUCCUUGCAUAUCAUGUAGAAAUUGCUUUGCUAAAUCUCAUGAUGAUAUGCUUGCCAUGUCCUGUUGCCAUGAUAAAAAUGCACCUAUUUCCUCAAAUUGUUGUGCUAACAAUGUAGAGGAAACCCAAGACCCCAUGGAACAAGAUGUGGUCUUGAAUGGUGCCUCAAGGGAUCCUACAUCAUCAUCAAUUGCGUUUUGCCUUAUGGCUAAGGCUUCAAAGGUAUCUCCCACUUUGAAUCCCAAUAUAUAUUGUGAUGAUAUUGAUGAUGAUGAUGUUGAUAGUGAUGAAGAGAAUGAUACUGUUGCCUCCUUAAAAAUUAAGGGGGAAAUGAUUUUUAAAGCUCUUCAUAAGAAUAAAAUUGCUCGUUCCAACUUCAUGGAAAUCAUGUCUAUUGCUACUGAGGGCAAGAAAUAUAUUGAUGAGUUGGAAUCUCAUCUUGAGGAGCAUGAGGUCACCAUUGACAAAAUGGAAGGUCAUGAGCGUGAUUACGCUAAUGAGAUUGCGGACCUCUCCCAAGCUCUUGAACUUGAACAAACCACCAAGGAAUCUCUUGAGGAGACUUUUGCUCUAGAAUUAUCUAGAGUGAAGGAAUCUCAUGAUAGAGCUCUUGAGGUGGACAAUGUUUUUAAAACUAAAAAUGCUAAGCUUGAAGUUGCUCAUGCUAGACUCCUUGAGAAUUUUGAGCACCUCGAAAAUGGCUCAAGGGUCAUUAAGGGUGAGCUCAUCAAACUCACCGAGUCUCAUGCUCAACUUGAAGCUUCUUAUUUAAAAGAGCUUUCCAAGUUGUCCUCUCCUCUUAUUGUUAAUGAUGAUGCUUGUGCUACUAAGUCUAUUACUUGUGAAGCAUCCAUUUUGAAGGAGAAUGUUGAGCUACGGGCUCAACUUGAGUUGCUAUCUAGCAAUUAUGGGAAAUUGGAAGAAAGUCAUGAAAAGCUCUCAAGCUCUCAUGAUGAUCUUCUAGUAUCCCAUAAUGUGCUAAAGAUAGCUCAUGAGGCCAUGAUUGCUAAGGUAACAUCUAGUGAGCCUCAUGUGGAUACUAGCACUACUUCUAGUCAAAAUGCUAUGUUGCCAUGUGCUAGUCCUUGUAAUUCAUCUACUCACAAUGUUGGUACAUCUUGUGAUGAAUUGCUUUCCUUGCCUUAUUGCUCUGAAGAUGAAGCUUAUAUUUCCUCUAGUACUUGUGUUGAGACUAACCAUGUAGAGGAAAUCAAAGAGCUCAAGGCCCAAGUCACUUCUUUGAAGAAAGACUUGGAAAAGAGUCAUGAAGGGAAAUUCACACUCAACAAUAUCUUGAGUGUGCAAAAAUCCCCCAAUGACAAAGGUGGACUUGGAUUCAACUCCAACAAGAAGAAGAAGUCCAAGAUGAACAAAAAGAAGGGCCAAGAACAAGUCAAGAAUUCGGCCAAGAUUGUUUGCUUCAAGUGCAAAGUUGAAGGGCAUCAUGUUAGAUCUUGCCCAUUGAAGAAGAAGCCCAUUAGUGACAGGCAACAAGGGAAGCGUCCACAAGUUCAUUCUCAUGCUCAACCUCAAGUUGAAGAAAGGCCUCUUCCCAAGAAAACUCAAGCUUAUGCUUCUCAAGUUGAGAAAUCAAGUGAGAAGAAAGUGAAGAGUAGACGUUGCUACCUAUGUCGUGAGAAAGGUCACCUCGCCUCUUUAUGCACUAGUGGUAACUUAUCCAACCCAACUAUUAUUGAUGAUACCUAUUCUCUUGGGAAGGAUAAUGUUGGCAAUGUGUUUGCCAAAGUUGUUGGUACUCAAUGUGGUGUCAAGAAAAGAACCAUUUGGGUAGCCAAGCCUAUUGUGACUAAUCUCUUAGGACCCAACUUGGUUGGGGACCAACUAGCUCAAACUUGA